AGUGAACGCUGGCGGUAGGCCUAACACAUGCAAGUCGAACGGCAGCACAGUAAGAGCUUGCUCUUACGGGUGGCGAGUGGCGGACGGGUGAGGAAUACAUCGGAAUCUACUUUUUCGUGGGGGAUAACGUAGGGAAACUUACGCUAAUACCGCAUACGACCUACGGGUGAAAGCAGAGGAUCUUCGGACCUUGCGCGAUUGAAUGAGCCGAUGUCGGAUUAGCUAGUUGGCGGGGUAAAGGCCCACCAAGGCGGCGAUCCGUAGCUGGUCUGAGAGGAUGAUCAGCCACACUGGAACUGAGACACGGUCCAGACUCCUACGGGAGGCAGCAGUGGGGAAUAUUGGACAAUGGGCGCAAGCCUGAUUCAGCCAUACCGCGUGGGUGAAGAAGGCCUUCGGGUUGUAAAGCCCUUUUGUUGGGAAAGAAAAGCAGCAGGUUAAUACCCCGCUGUUCUGACGGUACCCAAAGAAUAAGCACCGGCUAACUUCGUG
rnacentral:rRNA from 1 species